GGGGAGCGUUCUGUAAGCCUGCGAAGGUGUGCUGUGAGGCAUGCUGGAGGUAUCAGAAGUGCGAAUGCUGACAUAAGUAACGAUAAAGCGGGUGAAAAGCCCGCUCGCCGGAAGACCAAGGGUUCCUGUCCAACGUUAAUCGGGGCAGGGUGAGUCGACCCCUAAGGCGAGGCCGAAAGGCGUAGUCGAUGGGAAACAGGUUAAUAUUCCUGUACUUGGUGUUACUGCGAAGGGGGGACGGAGAAGGCUAUGUUGGCCGGGCGACGGUUGUCCCGGUUUAAGCGUGUAGGCUGGUUUUCCAGGCAAAUCCGGAAAAUCAAGGCUGAGGCGUGAUGACGAGGCACUACGGUGCUGAAGCAACAAAUGCCCUGCUUCCAGGAAAAGCCUCUAAGCAUCAGGUAACAUCAAAUCGUACCCCAAACCGACACAGGUGGUCAGGUAGAGAAUACCAAGGCGCUUGAGAGAACUCGGGUGAAGGAACUAGGCAAAAUGGUGCCGUAACU
rnacentral:rRNA from 1 species